rnacentral:sRNA from 1 species
GAGUGUGUCCUGCCUGGUCCUCUGCCUGGUGGGGUGGGGGUGCCAGGUGUGUCCAAAGGAGCCCAGUCGGUAGUGAGGCAGCUAUGGGGCUAGAAGCACUGGUGCCCCUGGCCGUGACAGUGGCCAUCUUCCUGCUCCUGGUGGACCUGAUGCACCGGCGCCAACGCUGGACUGCACGCUACCCACCGGGCCCCCUGCCACUGCCCGGACUGGGCAACCUGCUGCACGUGGACUUCCAGAACACACCAUACUGCUUUGACCAGUUGCGGCGCCGCUUCGGGGACGUGUUCAGCCUGCAGCUGGCCUGGACGCCGGUGGUCGUGCUCAAUGGGCUGGCGGCCGUGCGCGAGGCGCUGGUGACCCGCGGCGAGGACACCGCCGACCGCCCGCCUGCACCCAUCUACCAGGUCCUGGGCUUCGGGCCGCGUUCCCAAGGCAAGCGGCGGUGGGGACAGAGACCGCGUUUCCGUGGGCCCCGGGUGAACAGUUACCGUAGCCUGAGCUGCGCCGACAGGGCGUGGGGUCCUGGGCGUGAAACAGAGAUAAAGGCCAGCGAGUGG